rnacentral:lncRNA from 1 species
GUGUAAUGAUGUCUGGGCUGGCUGUGCUGUGCCUCCUGCUUCUGCAGACUGGAGCCCAUGGGUUUAAGUUAUGGGGCAACUCUGUGACUCACCAGCAGAUCACUGAGAAUGCGAUCUUAAACAUGACAACACAGGUGUGCCGGGCUCUGGCCAUGGCUGAAGGCAAAGACUUCAAGUUUCCUCCACCGCCUUUUACUGCCGAGUCUGUUGCUCUUGCCUGUGGGACAAAAAAAUCAUCCAAGACUUUCCACAAAACCAUCCGCUUGAUAAGAGAAAAAAACAACAUGGUGGACAUAUUUUUUUUCUGGUCUGCCAAGCACCACUUUGAUGAUGAGACUUUUACAGAAGGAAGGGAUGUCAUUGUAAAAGGAUUAUCAUCUGUCAAGGCCAGUAUCAAGCAAGGGAAGCUUGCCGCAGGGCGAGAACAACUGGGAAAAAUAUUGCACACUUUACAGGAUUUCUACAGUCAUAGUAACUGGGUGGAAAUGAAAAACGAACAGCCAAACUCAAAUCUGAUCAGAGCCAACACCAUCAUCGGCAACAUAGUCUGUACUGACGCAAUAAAGGUUAAUCUAAUCUACAGACAAAAACAGACCAACCUGUCGCAACUGUGAUGGAGACAACUGCAUGAACAACAUUUUGGAGGACGUUCUGCAGGAUAAGAUACUAACUACAGGAUAUUUUUCCCUUAACAUUUUUUUCCGUUCUAAACCCAAAGGUAAAUCAAUGUCAAUUUGUUAUUAUUAGGCCCGAGCAAGGACCGAGGUCCAAGCGCAGGGACUAUUAUAAUCGCUGAAUGGGCAAGGGACGAAUAAGCGGGGGGGGCGGUGUCUGGCAUCGUUUUCUGUCUCCCCGCACCCCACCAUGACGUUACUGG